rnacentral:lncRNA from 1 species
ACAGCAGCUAACUGCAUAUAUGUUGUCUUCACAGCAAUUUCCGGUUUUUGAUGAUUGCGUUAGCCUAUGCUAUACCGUUGGGUGUUUUCUCUGGCUGGUCUGGUGUUCUGGACUUGAUAUUAACACCAGUUCACGUCAGCCAAGUGGAUGCGGGCUGGAUUGGUUUUUGGUCCAUAGUUGGAGGCUGUGUUGUUGGCAUAGCAAUGGCAAGGUUUGCAGAUUCUAUCAGGGGCAUGCUGAAACUUAUACUACUGCUGCUGCUGUUUGGCGCAACACUGGCAUCCACCUGGUUCUCUCUCACCUGUCUUACUAGUGUCACUCACCUGCCUUUAACCA